AACGAACGCUGGCGGCAGGCCUAACACAUGCAAGUCGAACGCCGUAGCAAUACGGAGUGGCAGACGGGUGAGUAACGCGUGGGAACAUGCCCUUUGGUUCGGAAUAACUCAGGGAAACUUGAGCUAAUACCGGAUAAGCCCGAGAGGGGAAAGAUUCAUCGCCGAAGGAUUGGCCCGCGUCCGAUUAGCUAGUUGGUGAGGUAAAUGGCUCACCAAGGCGACGAUCGGUAGCUGGUCUGAGAGGAUGAUCAGCCACACUGGGACUGAGACACGGCCCAGACUCCUACGGGAGGCAGCAGUGGGAAUAUUGGACAAUGGGCGCAAGCCUGAUCCAGCCAUGCCGCGUGAGUGAUGAAGGCCCUAGGGUUGUAAAAGCUCUUUCGCCAGGGACGAUAAUGACGGUACCUGGAUAAGAAAGCCCCGGCUAACUUCGUGCCAGCAGCCGCGGU
rnacentral:rRNA from 1 species